CUUAUUAUCAUCCACCAACCUCUCUUACUAUUAGGAAAAUCUUGUUCCUCUUUUCUCUUAAGACCCCAAUCCCCAUCAUAAAACGCAAGUAAAAACGUGGAGAAAUUGGCACAAAAAUUGUCAAGUGAAGCCAGAAUCCAUCAAAACACAAACUAAAGUGCUAAUUGGGUUGAUUUCAUUAACACUGCACCUUUAAUGGUACCUGUGAAGACUUUUCUAGUUUAAAUCUUUUGAUUAGUCACCUAACAUUAAAGAUGAGGUAUAAUAUGAGUGGAAUAGGUUUCAAUAACGCCGAACCACGAAACUUCAACCGCGGUUUUGGACGUGGGAUUCCUAAACCUUUCCCACCAUUGCAACGUCGUCAAUCUCCACAGACACCUCGUAAAGGUGAUCUCUUUUUGGAGGCAGGUCGAUUAGCAGUCGAUUAUUUGGUUUCGCGGGGACUAUUGUCAUCAAAUGUGCUUCCUGGUAAAAAUCAGGAUGGUAGUUUGAGAAACAAUAGUGGGGAAUCACAUGAUCUUCGUAGUUCACAAGAUAGGGAUGGUAGUGUAAGGUCUCCAAUUGAUCAAGAUUCGAGUAUGGCGAGGAAUUACUCGAGGGAGAGGAGAAGAUUGGAACACACUAGGAGUUUUAGCUCUGACCGGAGUUAUGAGAAUGAAAGGGAAGGGUCUUUAGCUGAAGAAACAACCCGUUCAACGACCCCUGUUGCCGUUGAAAAUGAUGUUUUCCACAAGGAUACACCCAAAAGUACGGAUACUAGUGUUGAGAGUUCGCACCCAUCCGAGCUUGUAGCAAAAAAUGAUAGACACAAUGAGUUGCCGGAUGAGAUUGGAAAGGAUUGCUCGCUUAGCGAUCCAGACUCGAAGAAGACCACUUUGGUUGAAAACGACAAUGAUAAAGAGGUCGUGAGUGCUUCUGACGUUGGAAACGCCAUGUUUGAGGAGACAAAAGACGGGACUGAUAAUCGUAAUGAAGAACAAGAUAAUACGGAGGAUAAUUUAGCUAUUCAAAAAGUGGUAGAAAAGAGCGAUAAUUCUCCUUCAAUGGGAAGCUCCCCGAAUAGCGAUCUGGUUUUGACCAACCAAGAGAACAAUGUUAGUGAGCCGGGACUUGAUUUCCAAGACUCUUGUAAACAUGAUCCCAUAAAUGUUUCUGUAGAGACUCCUAGUAGUACCAAUUGCAUUGGUUCAAUUGUUUCGGAUCUUUCUUUUAGAGAGAUUGGCGAACUGAACCCCGCAUACCCUGUUGAUCAGCAAAAAUCUUUGGAGGUUUUAUCGUUUUCUUGUGAGCAAAAUUCUAGUGGAUUGACCGAGCUUGGGAUGUGCAGUUCCAUCUGUCAAGAUAGAGGUGAAAAACGGCCUAUUGAGGAAGAUAACGUCUUGAAGGGAGCCAAAAAAGCUAAGCAUCAACAAUGGCUUACUGUUGCUCACAGCGAUGAAUACUCGCUGCUUUCUGAUCUGAGUGACAAGCAUUCUAGUCAAUCGAGCUUUACUAAUGUCUCAUUGCCUCUAAAAGUUGAUGUUGAAUCUAACAUAAACGGAGAGAGGCAGAUGCUCUCGAACUCGUUUAAAAUCUGCGAUCUCAAUCUCAUGGAAGGGUCUAAUUUGCACGAGAGUCACAAUGUUACUACUUUGUUGUAUCCCUCAACAUCGGGUCCUUGUCGAGAUAUGCCAGUUGAUAUUCAUCUGUCCAUUACGAAUAGUCGCAAUUUAACUCAUGAGUACAAUGAGUCUGGAUCGGUUAGAAAAGAUAUCGAUAUAAUCGAUCUAGAAAGCACAUCUUUGGAGGAAUGCAAAAGGUCGAAUGACUCGAUGAAAAAUUCAGAGGCAGGCAUCACGAGCAUGGAGAGCUUUCAGAAUCCGCAAAAUUCUACCGAGAACCCUGAUGGGCAGGAUGGGUAUGGGUUCAUGAUCUCCGAGUUGCUUGGUAAUGAUGUCCCAAAUUGUUCUUCGGUUCAGCCUGAUAUGAAUCCUUUGCACAAUGACAUUGGCCUAAAUCACGGCGAGGAAAUGUUCAGUGAAGAUGAUCCAAUCUACAUGUCCUUGGGAGAAAUUCCUCUAAGUAUGCCAGAUAUUUAAAUUGCCGCAGGUCUUUUACGUGCUUGGGAGCAGCCUACGCAAGAGAGAAAUCCGUUUGAACUGUAGCUCAAUAAUCAUGGGCUCUAGAUAUGGCUGUAAUAAGACUAGUGGCGCGCUGCAGUCGUGUGUUACAAGACCGAAGCCCAUGAAGAUGAUGAGAUUUCCGGCUCACAAACCGCAGUUAACCUUGUAAUGCUGCUGCUCGUGUAAGAAACCAAGAAGGCAUUGUACUCGACGAUAUAGCUUUGAGGUAGCAUGGAAAACAUACAUAAAAGGCUCAUGUUUGCGGACAAUGACCUAUGUUUUAUGUUUUCCUUCAACCUCUAUAUAUGUCGUGCCAUUGCGACUUCUGAGAAAGGUUUAGCUAUCGGUUGUAUGUACCAACAGAAAUUUUAGUUUCAUUUACUUGUAGUCGACUAGUUGAUAAGCUUUUUUCUCGAAUGAAAUGUAUUGAUUGUAUGCUAAGAUCAUGCUGCAUGUAUAAGUGCAAUGCCAUUAAUGUAAAUGCCUAUAACAUGCAGAGCCGUCUUGAAAAAUUUAAAGGUCUUGUGCAAAA